UGCUCAUCUCUUCUUAGAUUUAUCAAUAUUUUGGAUUUGGGUUCUGUUAAAUAAAGUACCACUCUACUCCUUCCUAAGUACUGUAACGUCACAUGCUUAUGUAUGCAAAACCCCAAGAAUAUGAUUUUAUAUUUUGAUGGGGAAAAAUUGAAAAUUUGCCACCCAUAUUCCCUAACAAUCCAAAUAUCGUUGAUUCUUUGUUUGACUUUUGGAGAUGCCACCACUAUUCUGCUUUAGUCACUACUUCUCAGUCUCUCACUCUUCUUUUUCCCUUCAAAAUCUCAACUCCCUAACCUUUAGCCACCCACCACCACUUACUAGCUCCCUCCGUCCUGCAGCUGCCGGCCAACAUCACCAUAUCUUGCCUUUGAUUUUCCCACCACCUGCAGCCACCGUGAGUGAAUCAUUCUGUGGACUUUCAUCUUUCUCACCAACAUACCUCCAUCAUAUCAAAUGAAAUGGAUAGAUGGGUACAAAAUCAAUCUGUAGCUAGCACAACGUUAAUCUAAAAUCGCAUUAAUGUCCUUUUAAGUAAAUUCUUGAAUUCGAAGGAGAAUAUCGAGCGAGCUUUGUACCUGUUUAGAAAUUCAAUUCCGCUCAACUUUGAGUUUAUGAAAUUGGAAGACAGUGUUUUGCUUUGAUUUCAGUUUAAUUCAAAAUUGGGUUCUUGAAAAAUUGAUUGUAUGACUGAAUCAAUGGAGAUUGUUAUUAAUGGUUAGCAUGGCAUCCACGAGGAGUGGUUUGGUGUACA